CCUCUCUUGCAUGAUGAUGCAUAAAUACAAGCCCAAAGAUGGCAUCAUCACGUGGAAAAUAUGAGUAAACCAUUAAAACCAAUGAUGUGGUAGCAAAUGUGGCCCUAAACUACAAGUGCUAGCUACACUCCUCUCCCUGAGCUGAAAAGUGGUGGACAUGUAGUCCUUACAUAGCUAGGGCCACUAGAAAAGGUUUCAUGCCAAGUGCCCUCCAAUAAAAGGCCAUUUUUUAGCCCCAAGUUUGUUUCUACAAACUUACCCCCUAUAGAAACCCCACUUACACUGCCCCAUAUGAGAACGAAAUCCACUAGUGCUCUCCAGCAUGCAUGCCUCAUGUGUUAGACAACUUUUCCCGGAAAAAUAGAUUCCCUCGACACAUGUUGGCAUGGUGACCAUGCAGUUGACCUUAAACAACGGCUCUCUGCCAAAAAAAGGAUGUCUAGUAGCUCAUGUCCAGCAGCGGCAGAAUAUCCCAGCAUGCCAGGCAUCUCCUCUCACCCCUCCACGCCUCUCCCCGAUGCCAGCUUGCCUCCAAAGCACCUCUGCCACACAUACUUUCCGUGUCCGAGGGAAUCCGAGGUGCACCAGAGCUCUCUCUUGUUGCCCUCUGCCCAAAAGUCGUCAGUGAGCCCCCUUUUGACCCCCUCUAGCUCCAUCUCACUCCCGCGCACCUAUCACA
rnacentral:lncRNA from 1 species